rnacentral:rRNA from 1 species
GACGAACGCUGGCGGCGUGCCUAACACAUGCAAGUCGAACGGAGAUUCAGCAAUGGAUCUUAGUGGCGAACGGGUGAGUAACACGUAGACAACCUGCCUUUGAGAUGGGGACAACAAUCCGAAAGGAUUGCUAAUACCGAAUGAGCUUCUUUCAUCGCAUGGUGAGAGAAGGAAAGAUGGCCUCUAUUUAUAAGCUAUCGCUCAAAGAUGGGUCUGCGUCUGAUUAGCUAGUUGGUGGGGUAAAGGCCUACCAAGGCGACGAUCAGUAGCCGGUCUGAGAGGAUGAACGGCCACAUUGGGACUGAGACACGGCCCAAACUCCUACGGGAGGCAGCAGUGGGGAAUCUUCCACAAUGGACGAAAGUCUGAUGGAGCAACGCCGCGUGAGUGAAGAAGGUUUUCGGAUCGUAAAGCUCUGUCUUUUGGGACGAAUGUGCAAUUUGUGAAUAAUGAGUUGCAAUGACGGUACCAGAGGAGGAAGCCACGGCUAACUACGUGCCAGCCGCCGCUGUAAAAC